rnacentral:rRNA from 1 species
AACCGGGGAUUGCCUUAGUACGGCGAGUGAAGCGGCAAAAGCUCAAAUUUGAAAUCUGGUACCUUCGGUGCCCGAGUUGUAAUUUGGAGAGGGCAACUUUGGGGCCGUUCCUUGUCUAUGUUCCUUGGAACAGGACGUCAUAGAGGGUGAGAAUCCCGUGUGGCGAGGAGUGCGGUUCUUUGUAAAGUGCCUUCGAAGAGUCGAGUUGUUUGGGAAUGCAGCUCUAAGUGGGUGGUAAAUUCCAUCUAAAGCUAAAUAUUGGCGAGAGACCGAUAGCGAACAAGUACAGUGAUGGAAAGAUGAAAAGAACUUUGAAAAGAGAGUGAAAAAGUACGUGAAAUUGUUGAAAGGGAAGGGCAUUUGAUCAGACAUGGUGUUUUGUGCCCUCUGCUCCUUGUGGGUAGGGGAAUCUCGCAUUUCACUGGGCCAGCAUCAGUUUUGGUGGCAGGAUAAAUCCAUAGGAAUGUAGCUUGCCUCGGUAAGUAUUAUAGCCUGUGGGAAUACUGCCAGCUGGGACUGAGGACUGCGACGUAAGUCAAGGAUGCUGGCAUAAUGGUUAUAUGCCGCCCGUCUUAACCCCCGAAACAA